AUUGAACGCUGGCGGCGUGCCUAACACAUGCAAGUCGAGCGGCAGCGCGGGAGCAAUCCUGGCGGCGAGCGGCGGACGGGUGAGUAAUGCUUGGGAAUCUGCCUGUUAGUGGGGGACAACCCGGGGAAACUCGGGCUAAUACCGCAUACGCACUACGGUGGAAAGCCGGGGACCGCAAGGCCUGGCGCUAACAGAUGAGCCCAAGUCGGAUUAGCUAGUUGGUAGGGUAACGGCCACCAAGGCGACGAUCCGUAACUGGUCUGAGAGGACGACCAGUCACACCGGGACUGAGACACGGCCCAGACUCCUACGGGAGGCAGCAGUGGGGAAUAUUGGACAAUGGGCGCAAGCCUGAUCCAGCGAUGCCGCGUGUGUGAAGAAGGCCUGCGGGUUGUAAAGCACUUUCAGUAGGGAAGAAAGCCGAGUGCUAAUAUCAUUCGGUCUUGACGUUACUUACAGAAGAAGCACCGGCUAACUCCGUGCCAGCAGCAGCCGC
rnacentral:rRNA from 1 species